GAUGAACGCUGGCGGCGUGCCUAAUACAUGCAAGUCGAACGGAGAACUUUUGUAGCAAUACGAAGGUUUCUUAGUGGCGAACGGGUGAGUAACGCGUUGGUGACCUGCCCCAAAGUGUGGGAUAACAGUCCGAAAGGAUUGCUAAUACCGCAUGUGGCCAUCGGGUUUAGAAACCGAUGUCUAAAGCCGCAAGGCGCUUUGGGAGGGACCUGCGUCCCAUCAGCUAGUUGGCGAGGUAACGGCUCACCAAGGCUACGACGGGUAGGGGGCCUGAGAGGGUGGCCCCCCACAAUGGAACUGAAACACGGUCCAUACACCUACGGGUGGCAGCAGUAGGGAAUAUUGCACAAUGGGCGAAAGCCCGAUGCAGCAACGCCGCGUGAGCGAUGAAGGCCUUCGGGUCGUAAGGCUCUUUUCUGGGAGAUGAGAAAGGACAGUACCCCAGGAAUAAGUCUCGGCUAACUACGUGCCAGCCGCCGCCGUAAAAC
rnacentral:rRNA from 1 species